AUUGAACGCUGGCGGCAUGCCUUACACAUGCAAGUCGAACGGUAACGCGGGGCAACCUGGCGACGAGUGGCGAACGGGUGAGUAAUGCAUCGGAACGUGCCCAGUUGUGGGGGAUAACUGCUCGAAAGAGCAGCUAAUACCGCAUACGACCUGAGGGUGAAAGCGGGGGAUCGCCAGACCUCGCGCAAUUGGAGCGGCCGAUGUCGGAUUAGCUAGUUGGUGGGGUAAAGGCCCACCAAGGCGACGAUCCGUAGCUGGUCUGAGAGGACGACCCGCCACACUGGGACUGAGACGCGGCCCAGACUCCUACGGGAGGCAGCAGUGGGGAAUUUUGGACAAUGGACGCAAGGCUGAUCCAGCCAUGCCGCGUGCGGGAAGAAGGCCUUCGGGUUGUAAACCGCUUUUGUCAGGGAAGAAAUCUUCUGGGUUAAUACCUCGGGAGGAUGACGGUACCUGAAGAAUAAGCACCGGCUAACUACGUGCCAGCCGCCGCCGUAAAAC
rnacentral:rRNA from 1 species